UCCUACGGGAGGCAGCAGUGGGGAAUAUUGCACAAUGGGCGAAAGCCUGAUGCAGCGACGCCGCGUGAGGAAGAAGUAUUUCGGUAUGUAAACUCUAUCAGCAGGGAAGAAAAUGACGGUACCUGACUAAGAAGCCCCGGCUAACUACGUGCCAGCAGCCGCGGUAAUACGUAGGGGGCAAGCGUUAUCCGGAUUUACUGGGUGUAAAGGGAGCGUAGACGGUUAAGCAAGUCUGAAGUGAAAGCCCGGGGCUCAACCCGGUACUGCUUUGGAAACUGUUUGACUUGAGUGCAGGAGAGGUAAGUGGAAUUCCUAGUGUAGCGGUGAAAUGCGUAG
rnacentral:rRNA from 1 species